GCAGCCAGAGGGAGGAGAACACGGAAGGCUUUUAAAGAGUGAGACCAACACUGCUAGGAUGCCCCACUGGACUCAGAUGAGAUGAGGCUGGGGAGACAGCCACUGGAUGAGCAGUCCUGGGCACAGGUUCAGCAUUCCUCCAGUGGGAGCCGUCCUUUUCCUCACUAUGGAAAUGAAGGGAACAGAGACCUCCUGGCCUAGCAAGAGAGUCUGGAAAGAGGACUGGUGACAAGGAUGGCACUUGGGCCCUUUGAGGGAGGUUGACUGAGAACCAGGGAAGAUGGUCCCAGGCCUUGCCUCGCUGCCUCACUAGUCCUCUCCCGGAACAUGAGCCCGCUCAGUGAUGCCACACAGCAGAGCCACGAUGCCACUUCCAAGAACAGUUCCGACUGCUCAAGGAUGG